AUGGGUGCGUGGGCAUGGUGGCCGGGUCUCCUGUUCGGCGCCGUCCCACUGCUCUGCCUCGCCGCCUGGCACUUCACCGACGCAUGGCACUGCGCCGCCUUCGCUCUCAAAUACCGCGGCCGUGGCAGCAAGGGCAGCCGGCAGCGCCUCCCGCCGGGACACAUGGGCCUCCCCUUCCUCGGCGAGACGCUCUCGCUGCUCUGGUACUUCAAGCUGGUCCGCCGCCCGGACGACUUCAUCGGCGCCAAGAAGAGCGCGUACGGCGACGGGGUGGGACUGUACAGGACGCACCUGUUCGGCUCCCCCAGCAUCAUCGCCUGCUCCCCGGCCGCCAACAAGUUCGUGCUCCAGUCUGCCGACAGCUUCGGCAUCCGGUGGCCGGUGCCGGAGCUCGUCGGCAUAACGUCCGUGGGGAACGUGGAGGGCGCCAGCCAUGCCAGGCUACGCGGGUUCAUCCUCGCCGCUAUCAACAAGCCCAGUUCGCUCCGCACCAUCGCCACCGUUGUGCAGCCGCGCAUCAUGGCGGCGCUGCAAACGUGGGCAGAUAAGGGUACCAUUGUCGCCGCCACUGAGAUCAAAAAGGUGACGUUUGCUAACAUCUGCAAGAUGUUCGUGAGCAUGGAACCCUCGCCUAUGACAGACAAGAUCGACCAAUGGUUUGGCAGAUUGCUUGAUGGCCUGAAGGCAUUCCCAUUAGAUUUACCGGGGACGACAUCUCGCGCCGGUCGAAAGUGUCGUCGGAAGUUGAAUGCGGUCUUCCAGGAGGUGUUGGAGGCAAGGAAGAAGGUGCACACGGGGUGUGAUGAUUUGAUGAGUGGACUAAUGCAGAUGGAGGAUGAGCAGGGGAAGAAGCUGAGCGACAACGAGGUGGUGGAUAACAUCGUCUCCCUCGUUAUCGCCGGCUAUGAGUCCACUACCACUGCCAUCAUAUGGGCUACUUACCACCUUGCAAAAUCCCCCGUUGUCCUUGCCAAGCUUCGAGAGGAGAAUGUAGAAAUGAACAAAAGCAAAAGUGGUUCGACAUUGGCGAGUUUGAUGAUCACCUACGACGACAUCCCAAAGAUGAAGUACACGACGAAGGUGGUCGAGGAGACAAUCCGAAUGGCCAACAUCUCCACAAUGGUCUUUCGCGUGGCGAACAUGGAUGUGGAGUACCACGGCUACACCAUACCGAAGGGGUGGCCGGUGCUGGUGUGGUUGAGGUCAUUGCACACCGACCCCAAUUACUACCAGGACCCCCUUACCUUCAAUCCCGACAGAUGGGAGGAACCAGCAAAGCCAGGAACAUACCAGGUGUUCGGAGGUGGCAGCAGGAUCUGCCCAGGCAACAUGCUUGCCAGGAUGCAGAUCACCAUCAUCCUACAUCAUCUCUCCAUCGGCUAUGAAUGGGAGUUGCUCAAUCCUGAUGUAGAAAUCAAUUACCUUCCACACCCAAGGCCAGCGGAUGGUACAUCCAUGGCCUUCCGUAGACUUAGCACCUAA
rnacentral:rRNA from 1 species